rnacentral:rRNA from 1 species
AUUGAACGCUGGCGGCAUGCCUUACACAUGCAAGUCGAACGGUAACAGGUCUUCGGAUGCUGACGAGUGGCGAACGGGUGAGUAAUACAUCGGAACGUGCCUAGUAGUGGGGGAUAACUACUCGAAAGAGUGGCUAAUACCGCAUGAGCUCUACGGAUGAAAGCAGGGGAUCGCAAGACCUUGUGCUACUAGAGCGGCCGAUGGCAGAUUAGGUAGUUGGUGGGAUAAAAGCUGACCAAGCCGACGAUCUGUAGCUGGUCUGAGAGGACGAUCAGCCACACUGGGACUGAGAAACGGCCCAGACUCCUACGGGAGGCAGCAGUGGGGAAUUUUGGACAAUGGGCGCAAGCCUGAUCCAGCAAUGCCGCGUGCAGGAUGAAGGCCUUCGGGUUGUAAACUGCUUUUGUACGGAACGAAAAGCCCCGGGUUAAUACCCUGGGGUCAUGACGGUACCGUAAGAAUAAGCACCGGCUAACUACGUGCCAGCCGCCGCGGUAA